ACUUUUUCAUUAUUUUCACACUAAAAUUGGAACAAUACAGAGAAGAUUAGCAUGACCCCUGCGCAAGGAUGACACACAAAUUUGUGAACGUUCUGUAUUUUU